rnacentral:rRNA from 1 species
UACGAAGGGUGCAAGCGUUACUCGGAAUUACUGGGCGUAAAGCGUGCGUAGGUGGUUGUUUAAGUCUGUUGUGAAAGCCCUGGGCUCAACCUGGGAAUUGCAAUGGAUACUGGGCGACUAGAGUGUGGUAGAGGGUAGUGGAAUUCCCGGUGUAGCAGUGAAAUGCGCAGAGAUCGGGAGGAACAUCCAUGGCGAAGGCAGCUACCUGGACCAACACUGACACUGAGGCACGAAAGCGUGGGGAGCAAACAGG